CCUGUGGCUUCCUGCACAUCUGCUCGCGUGGCUGGGGUCACUCUGCGCGGGCACUGCCGCUUUCGUCUGCAUCUGGACAACUGGGUA
rfam:Equus caballus chromosome 15, whole genome shotgun sequence.